UCCGGGGGAAGCUCACCGCCGAGGCCACGCACGGGGUGCGCGUCACCCACGCCCCGCCUCGGGGAAGGUCUGAGAGAAGGGCCGCCAGCGGCUCCAGCAGAGCCCCGCCCGCGAGGGGCGGGUGAGCCACCAGAAAGGGGGUGGCGCCGCGGAAUCAGGCCCAGCCUGGGCAGGAGAAGCCGGCGCCGGUUGCGGGGGGGAUCUCGCUCCCCCUCCCGCCCAGCUCGGCGGAUGCUCGUGGCCCCGCGGUGCUUUGAGACAGACUCACGGCCGGCGUCUGUUGAGUCCAAUGGGUGAGGUGGGGCACCGCCCUACAACCCAAUUCAGACUACUCUCCCCCGGA
rnacentral:RNase_P_RNA from 1 species